AGCGAACGCUGGCGGCAGGCUUAACACAUGCAAGUCGAGCGCCUGUAGCAAUACAGGAGCGGCAGACGGGAGAGUAACACGUGGGAACGUACCCUUCAGUUCGGAACAACCAAGGGAAACUUUGGCUAAUACCGAAUACGUCCGUAAGGAGAAAGAUUUAUCGCUGAAGGAUCGGCCCGCGUCUGAUUAGCUAGUUGGUGGGGUAAGUGGCUCACCAAGGCGACGAUCAGUAGCUGGUCUGAGAGGAUGAUCAGCCUCAUUGGGACUGAGACACGGCCCAAACUCCUACGGGAGGCAGCAGUGGGGAAUAUUGGACAAUGGCGCAAGCCUGAUCCAGCCAUGCCGCGUGGAUGAUGAAGGCCCUAGGGUUGUAAAGUCCUUUCGACGGGGAAGAUAAUGACGGUACCCGUAGAAGAAGCCCCGGCUAACUUCGUGCCACGCCGCCGCGGUAAC
rnacentral:rRNA from 1 species